UAUAUUAGCUACAAUGCAAUAAUAAUUCAAACAAAGAUGCACGCAAUAUUAAGCACAGAAAGAAAAAUAGAAUCAUGGAGCAAAGUUAACAUAAACAUAAAAUUUACAAAGUUUCAUUUGAAAGCAACAAAACUGAAAUGGGCCGUGAAAAAAAAAAUUACCCAAUUUUCGAAGAGGAAAGACCCAAAAAUUGAGAAUUGAAACUCACUACCUUGAAGAGUGAUGGAUAUAGUAAGGAAUUGAACAAAAAAAUUAACAAUUCUGCUAGGGAACUAAGAGGGGUCCAGCUAACUUUCUGCCAACUUCUAUUGAGCUGAACCCCAAGCUCAUUUACCAUAUAAGAAAAAAGCAACAUCCAAAUUAACCCUAGUUAACCUUCACCUUUCACCUUUUCCUUACAGCAACAUCCAAAACCCUCCAAUGGUUGUGCCUCCCUCCCACGUUCGUCGUACGCAUUUACUAGCCAGAGUCUAGGGCCGCAGCAGCUCCGUCCCGUCCAUGUGCAAGCAACGGCGGUGGUUAGAAGUUCGCGCCAGACCGCUGCAGCGCCUCCGUCCCGCCCACGCGCGAGCAACCGCGGGGAGUCAGAAGCCCACCCCAGACCGCUACUACUGCUGCAUGUUGUCGUCGCCGCACCAUUGAAGCCUUCCUUUCUCAUCCGGUUCACUCGGCAUUACCUCCCAUGAUCUGCCCCCACGAGAGCCGCGUCGGACUCCUCCAAGUCGCACCGUGAAGCCUCACUGAAAAAUACUCCUCGGGACAUCCUGAAGAGCCGAGCGCAAUAUGAAAAAAUCUACAUCAGAUGUUUCUUUUGUUAAACAAAUGAAUAUUUCUUUUUAUACUAAAUAGAUGAUUCUUAUUUAAGGUGGAGAUUAACUUUGAAGUAAUUGAACGCAUAUUGUACUUAUUGAUUCAAUUAUUGUAACUUAUGAGCAUUUUUAUAGUUAAUAUAUAAUAGACAUCUAUGGCUAUUUAGUUGUUGUA